AGCAGGACUCCAAUUUGUUAUUGAAGGAGUCACACCAAGAAAUAAUCGGAAACCCAUCUGGAACAAAAGAAGUUUUUUAUGUGUGACUGUAUUCUGGUCCUGGAACAGUUCUGCCGGCAAUUUUUCAAGGCAAUAAUCUAGCAUUCGCCUGGAAGGACUGAAGAAAAACAAAAUAUCCCAAUCAGGAUAGCCAAUACUCCACAUAACAACUGAGUACCUUAGUACUGAAAAAUUUGAGUUGGUUAUUUAAUAAUGGUAAUGUAUCGGAGAUUAUGUGGUGACGAAAUAAAGUACAUUCAACAUCAUAUAGGAA